CGGGGUGUAGUAUAUCGGCAGUACGCAUGCAUGGGGUGCAUGUAGGCCGGGUUCGAUUCCCGGCACCCCGACCA
rnacentral:tRNA from 1 species